GACGAACGCUGGCGGCGUGCCUAAUACAUGCAAGUUGAGCGCUGAAGGCUGGUACUUGUACCAACUGGAUGAGCAGCGAACGGGUGAGUAACGCGUGGGGAAUCUGCCUUUGAGCGGGGGACAACAUUUGGAAACGAAUGCUAAUACCGCAUAAAAACUUUAAACACAAGUUUUAAGUUUGAAAGAUGCAAUUGCAUCACUCAAAGAUGAUCCCGCGUUGUAUUGGCUAGUUGGUGAGGUAAAGGCUCACCAAGGCGAUGAUACAUAGCCGACCUGAGAGGGUAAUCGGCCACAUUGGGACGGGAACACGGCCCAAACUCCUGCGGGAGACAGCAGUAGGGGAUCUUCGGCAAUGGACGAAAGUCUGACCGAGCAACACCGCGUGAGUGAAGAAGGUUUUCGUAUCGUAAAACUCUGUUAGUAGAGAAGAACGUUGAGGAGAGUGGAAAGCUCAUCAAGUGACGGUAACUACCCAGAAAGGGACGGCUAACUACGUG
rnacentral:rRNA from 1 species